rnacentral:sRNA from 2 species
ACACAGUCCGACGCGGUACGGUCGCGAAGCCGGUGCGAUUCCGGCACAGUCCCGCUACGGUGACCGCCCCUCCGGGGCGGAAGUCCGGUCGCCGACCUGCCGUCGCCGCUCGAGCCUUCGAGAGAAAGGUCAGGCGCAC